UCCGGUUCCACUGCGGCUGCUGCGAGCGGAGACGAGGCCGAGUCCUCGUCCUUCACAGGCCGAGUUUGGUUUGACGACUGAGCGGACUCGGUUUGGACCAGGUUUGGACCGCGUCUCUUUCCUGUUCUGGUUCGGCCGCCAUCUUGUAUCAACUGGCUUCGCUUGAGGAUGACCAGCGGCGCCCUCUGCUGGAUGGCGGCCAAACUACAACACUGGAAGACGUAAAACUCACUGGGCGACAUGAUCAAAUCGCUGUUCAGCCUCAGAGUCUGAAGAGGAAGCACCUGAAGGAUGAGACAGGCGUG